rnacentral:tRNA from 1 species
GGCCGGUUAGCUCAGUGGUUUGAGCACGGUGCUGACAACAACGACUGACACCGAGGUCGCAGUUUCGAUUCCUGCUCGGUCC